UACGUAGGGUGCAAGCGUUGUCCGGAAUUAUUGGGCGUAAAGAGCUCGUAGGUGGUUUGUCGCGUCUGCUGUGAAAACCCGAGGCUCAACCUCGGGCCUGCAGUGGGUACGGGCAGACUAGAGUGCGGUAGGGGAGAUUGGAAUUCCUGGUGUAGCGGUGGAAUGCGCAGAUAUCAGGAGGAACACCAAUGGCGAAGGCAGAUCUCUGGGCCGUAACUGACGCUGAGGAGCGAAAGCAUGGGGGAGCGAACAGG
rnacentral:rRNA from 1 species